GUUUACGUCACGUUCUGACCAAGGAGUUCCCUCAGAACAGAGUCGUGUAUGAAGAGAAAGUCCUCAACAAUUGGUCAAAAGGCACUCAGAAACGCACAGCAAACUGGGCAGAGAUGUCAAACCAUCCCGCACGACCAUGAAACUCUAGAGGAGACACAGAAUGACUCAUCUCAGUACCUCAAACGGAAAGACGUGACAGCAGCCUGCUGAGAAACACUAAAAUACAGCAAUGACCAAAACAAAGAAGAAGCCUGGAAACUAUCUUGAAAGUGAACCAUGACGUCACACCGUUGCUGGAACAUUCACUCCUUUUUAUGCAUUUUUUACACAUUUCUACGCAACUGUUAAUUCAUUUAGAAAUGUCUUCUGUCAGUUGCACAUUUAAUUGAAUGAAUAAAUAAUAAGUCAAUAGUGGUCAUAGUACAAACUAAACCACCGCAACUUGUUGCUCUCAACCAUUAGCAUGUCUGAGCCUCUCAAUGGGCCUCAGAGACCUCACAUCCAUCCAGGGGAUGUUUUUUAUAUUUAAUAUUAUAUCUCACUUGUCAGUUCACCAAGAGAGGCAUCAUGCAUUAUACAGUAUAUGGACAUGCCAUGCUCACUGUAGAUGCCUUUUAAAUAUGACUGGAUCUGUAUUUGCAUAUAGCUUCUGCAAAAGUGAGAAACAAUGCUUUUAUUCCAUCAUAGCUCAUAUGUAAUAAUAAAAUAUU